UGGGGUGUGCAUCAAGAUGGGAUUUAUCGAUCCUAACAGAAGGAAGUAGUCCUAUGAGAUUUAAGAGACUGAGUCCUUAAGUCUAUGGCCAUAGUAGUAUAAUUGAUGGAAAAGAGUUUUUAUAGAAUCACAUAUGAACUUAAGCUGAUUGAAUCUAUCUUAUAAUCGGUGUUGAGGUUUGACGAUUUAUCCAUGAUCUGCUAUCUAAUCAAGACUCACGAUAGAGGGACUGAAUCACACAUUAACUACACCUAGAGGUUCAUUUCAGUUCUACUGGAUUGUCACUA
rnacentral:lncRNA from 1 species